AUAAAGACAUUGCACAGGAAUUUUAAUUAUUAGAUAUUUCACAGAAAACUUAGGGUAGUGAGACUAAGUAAUAUCAUAAUUAAAUCGUACCUGGAAGUUGUUUUUCGAAUCGAGUAGAAAAAUCGUUGGUGACGUUACCACUUGAGUUUAAAACUCACUGAGCUAGUAUUUGUGAAAAUACUAGGAACAGAGGUGGCACCGCGAUUAAUUCGUCCUCUUG
rnacentral:ncRNA from 1 species